rnacentral:rRNA from 1 species
AACGAACGCUGGCGGCAGGCCUAACACAUGCAAGUCGAGCGAAGCCUUCGGGCUUAGCGGCGGACGGGUGAGUAACGCGUGGGAACGUGCCCUUUGCUACGGAAUAGCCCCGGGAAACUGGGAGUAAUACCGUAUGUGCCCUUCGGGGGAAAGAUUUAUCGGCAAAGGAUCGGCCCGCGUUGGAUUAGGUAGUUGGUGGGGUAAUGGCCUACCAAGCCGACGAUCCAUAGCUGGUUUGAGAGGAUGAUCAGCCACACUGGGACUGGGACACGGCCCAGACUCCUACGGGAGGCAGCAGUGGGGAGUCUUAGACAAUGGGCGGAAGCCUGAUCUAGCCAUGCCGCGUGAUCGAUGAAGGCCUUAGGGUUGUAAAGAUCUUUCAGGUGGGAAGAUAAUGACUGUACCACCAGAAGAAGCCCCGGCUAACUCCGUGCCAGCAGCCGCCGUAAAAC